AACAAUCCCGAUACCACAUAAGAACCCUUAAACAAUAUUGAGUAAUUCUAUACAAUUAUAGAAGAUUUUAUGUUAAAACUAGUAACAAGAAGAAGAGCUUCUCAUACAAUGCAAACUUAAAUCAGACAGGACACCCCACUGAUAAUUAACACCCAUGAAUAAAAAGUAGUAACCAAACAAGAAAACUCUACUAAACCAUGCGUUAACCUAACACCAGAGCAUUACAAGAAAGAUUAAAAGAAAAAGAAGGAACUCGGCAAACAUUAACCUCGCCUGUUUACCAAAAACAUCGCCUCUUGAAUAAAUAUAAGAGGUCCAGCCUGCCCAGUGACCAUGUUCAACGGCCGCGGUAUCCUAACCGUGCGAAGGUAGCGUAAUCACUUGUUCUUUAAAUAAGGACUAGUAUGAAUGGCACCACGAAGGUUAUACUGUCUCCUCUCUCUAAUCAGUGAAACUAAUCUCCCCGUGAAGAAGCGGGGAUAAUUAUAUAAGACGAGAAGACCCUAUGGAGCUUCAAACUACAGGGCACCUGCCCCGCACAACUAAAUUUCAGAAAACAAUCACCAUCUGGGCAAGAUGACCCUUAGUUUUAGGUUGGGGUGACCGCGGAGAAAAAAAUAACCUCCACAUUGAAAGGAACCCACUCCUUAGCCAAGAGCCACACCUCUACGCACCAAUAAAAAGACAUUAAUUGACCCAAUAUUUUGAUCAACGAACCAAGUUACCCUAGGGAUAACAGCGCAAUCCGCUUCAAGAGCCCCUAUCGACAAGUGGGUUUACGACCUCGAUGUUGGAUCAGGGUAUCCCGGUGGUGCAGCCGCUACCAAAGGUUCGUUUGUU
rnacentral:rRNA from 1 species